UACGUAGGGUGCAAGCGUUAAUCGGAAUUACUGGGCGUAAAGCGUGCGCAGGCGGUGAUGUAAGACAGAUGUGAAAUCCCCGGGCUCAACCUGGGAACUGCAUUUGUGACUGCAUCGCUGGAGUGCGGCAGAGGGGGAUGGAAUUCCGCGUGUAGCAGUGAAAUGCGUAGAUAUGCGGAGGAACACCGAUGGCGAAGGCAGCCUCCUGGGCCAGCACUGACGCUCAUGCACGAAAGCGUGGGGAGCAAACAGG
rnacentral:rRNA from 1 species